CUGUUCUUGCAGGAAAAAAUAACUCAAGUCCACAUAUAGAAAAUAAGCAGAGCACUUACCAUCCAAAUCUCUCUGUUUCCCUCAAAUCAUCAGCUACUCUUUGGAACAUGUAGUUUUUGUCAAAUGAGGCUGUGGUUUAACUCCAGAGACUUUCCUGUAAGUGAAGAAAGCACAGCCAAAGCCACCAGGAGUCUGAUUCAACUUUGAACAGACCAGAGAGAGUUAAUCCUCAGGAAUUGUUACCUGCCAAAGGAAGAUGAAAGCCCAGCUGUGUAAAAUAUGCCUGGAUGUUUUCCCAAGGAUACCAAGUAUUAAUCCAUUACAGCAGCAAGAGGAUCACGCUGUGUGAGUUAUUCAAGCGUUUUCUGAAGGCGAAUGAGAUUCAGCAAUUUGGUAAAGCAUGUCACAGUGGAAGUGUAUUGCAAAGCCCACACAAGAGAUGUCAUACUACUGCUUGAAGAGGAAGGAAAGGCAGAGACCAUAUGUGAUGAACUUAGACCUCCAUUCCUCAUCCCCCUGAACUAACUGGGAGGAGAAGGUAAAGAAAAUCUUUUGUGAAAUUGAGCUUGGGAAGAAAGGUUGGGAAGAAGAGAAAGCAUUUCAAGAUGUAUUUUUAUUUCUCACUACCCUAAACUGAUUUUCUUGGUAAUAAAUUAAAUUAAUUUCCCCA
rnacentral:lncRNA from 1 species